GGUGUCCGCGCGGUCAGUGGCGGCUUAAGGAGAGUGGCUGCCGCCAUGAUAGAACAGCAGAAGCGAAAGGGUCCAGAGUUGCCGCUGGUCCCAGUCAAGCGGCCGCGGCAUGAAUUGCUAUUGGGAGCGGCGGGGUCGGGCCCCGGAGCCGGGCAGCAGCAGGCGGCGCCGGGAGCUUUGCUGCAAGCGGGGCCUCCAAGAUGUUCCUCCCUUCAAGCCCCAAUCAUGCUUCUCUCAGGACAUGAAGGGGAAGUGUAUUGCUGCAAGUUUCACCCCAAUGGAUCCACCUUAGCAUCUGCAGGAUUUGACCGACUGAUAUUGUUGUGGAAUGUCUAUGGUGACUGCGAUAACUAUGCUACAUUGAAGGGACACAGUGGAGCAGUGAUGGAACUGCAUUAUAACACAGACGGCAGUAUGCUCUUCUCAGCAUCCACAGAUAAAACUGUGGCGGUGUGGGAUAGUGAAACAGGCGAGAGGGUUAAAAGACUGAAGGGGCACACUUCCUUUGUGAAUUCCUGUUAUCCGGCCAGGAGGGGUCCCCAGCUUGUCUGCACUGGCAGUGACGACGGUACAGUUAAGCUUUGGGACAUCCGUAAGAAAGCAGCGAUCCAGACAUUUCAGAACACCUACCAAGUGUUAGCUGUGACCUUCAAUGACACAAGUGAUCAGAUUAUUUCUGGUGGAAUAGACAACGAUAUCAAGGUCUGGGACCUGCGCCAAAAUAAGCUGACCUACACGAUGAGAGGCCAUGCAGAUUCAGUGACUGGCCUGAGUUUAAGCUCUGAAGGCUCUUAUCUCUUGUCCAAUGCAAUGGACAAUACAGUGCGGGUCUGGGAUGUCCGGCCGUUUGCUCCCAAAGAAAGGUGUGUGAAGAUAUUUCAAGGAAAUGUGCACAACUUUGAAAAGAAUCUUCUGAGAUGUUCUUGGUCACCUGAUGGAAGCAAGAUAGCAGCUGGCUCAGCCGACAGGUUUCUAAAGAAGACCUCGAAAAACAGGCCCACAGCCUAAGAUGUCUUACAUUCUGACAGAGUAAGAACCAUUCUAAGUAUUUUUACAUGAUUUUCAGCAGAGAUGUAUCUUUCCUAUGUAAUUAAGCUUUUUAAAUGAUAUCUGCCUAGCUUUUCUUCUGAGCAGUUUGUUUCUGACAUUGGUUCUUUCUAACUUUCAAUGUCCUCUCUUCCCUCUUUCCCUCCCCACUGUUCCUUUAAGCCUUACAUGUGGAAGCAUGGCUCUGGUCUAGGAAGAGCCUGUAUGUCUACCUGCUGAGGGUUGGCCACAUUUCACAGGCCACCUCACCAAUUAGCCCCAAGUCAACAAGCAGCUCUGUUACAUGAGGAGCCUGGUUCCUGCCAAAUGUUGCCAUGCCAGAGUAAGGAGAGGAUAAGGAACUCCUCUAAAUUUAGCAUCUAAUUGGCAGCCAUGGAGAGUGAGGCCUCAAAGUAAACCCUUGGAGAGCUGGGGUUCUGCUGGCUUUUAUGUGCCUGGAAAAUGUAUUGUUCCUUCUCAGAAAACUGCUUUUCAGCUUGGCCUGAAUUUGGCAAAUUUCCCCUCCCUACUUGCAAUUCACCUACCUCCUCAUGUUCAGAUUUGAAACCCUUCAACAGUUCCUAUCAAGGACUACAAGAAGACUGGUCAGUCUCUCUGCUGUGAGUGAUUUAUUCAUAUUCAGCCUGUUGAUUUCAUGUGAUUCUGUUUUGAUCAUUUAUUUAUUCAUCAUAACAAUAGCUAUCAUUAAUUCUGUGUGCCAGGCACUUUGCAUACAUUAUUUCAUUAUUUCUCUCAACAGAGCUGUGAGAUCAACAUUGUCUCCAUCAUUACUCCAUCAUUUGACUAAGGAAAGAGAAGCUCAGAGAAGUUAAAUGAAUGUCUAAGGUUAUUUAACUAUUAAAUAGUUGCAUUGAGACUUGAACCCAGAACUUAUACACUUUUUCAAUAGGCCACAUAGCCUUAGAUGGAUUAAUGAGGACAGUUAUUAUGCAUGGCAAGAAAGAAGACACUGAGGAAAAUAUGAGCAUUAGAGACAAGGAGUCUGUAGACAGAUGGGGUUCCUUCUCUUCCACCUUGUGUGGAACUUUUAUUUAGUUCCUAUGGAGCCUAGCCCUUGUGAGCUAAACAGUGUAAUUAAGAAGCUCUUGUUUAUUUGCAUUUUAGACCAAAAGUGUAAUGUUGUUCAGAACUAGGUAUUUUAUAAUCAAGUGCUGAUGAGUGUACCCUUUUAGGUCUUGAUUGAACAAAACAAAUAUGUAAAUAAUUGGUAUAACCUGUUUGAAAACCACCAGCCUUUUAAAUUUACCAACAGAUUGUCUUUGCAUGGUCAUAUGAAAAUAAUAUCUAUUUAUUUUACUUUCAGCUUAAAAUGACCCAAGCAAGGCUGAGGGUCAAAGGAACUUCUUUUGGCAGGGGUCGGGGGAGGAGUGGAGGAUGGCAAGGGACACAAGAUAUUUGAGGGUGGUAAGAGAAAGAAUACUGGAAUAUAUUAAGCGGUCUAAUUUUAAUUCUGCCACUGAGCCACUGAUGAACUGUGUAACCUUGGAAAAGUCACUGUACCUUAGUUUUCUUUUCUGUAAAAUGAGUUUAGACUAGCUGGUUUCUGUUGGCCCCUUCCCGUGCUAGAAUUCAGUAUUCUUUCUGUCCAUGAAUUCAAUGCAAGAUUUGGAUCAAGCGUAUGUUUGGGUUUUGUUUAUAUAGCAGAAAUGUCCUGUCCGUCUCUGGGCUCUGUGAUUUGAAUACAGUACUAAGAAGUUCAGGUGGAUCUACAGCCUAGUCUCCCAACCUGCCAUGAGUUGGGUUACCUUUAAGACAUUCCUAGGUGCAUAUGAAGUUAACUACACCCUAAUUAUAUUGGGUGCUCUUUAAAGAAGAUUUCUGUGUAGGAUCUGUAGGAAAAACCGUUUGUCUUCUCCAUGAUCUUUCCUAUUUCGGAAGCUUGUGUUUGAAAAUACCAGCAAUGCUGAUAUUUUUAGCUAUUCCUAUUUCUCCACUCAGUUGCUCAAGAGCAGGAUCCAUGCCUUAUUUAAAAUCUAUAUUCCUAGUUUCUAAACGUCAGAGCACAGUUCAAUAAAUACAGAUUGAAUAAAUAAAGGGUUGCUUCCGUUUCCCUUAAAAAGCCAUGCUUCUCCCCUACCCUCAGUUCUGGGAGGCCUUAGCCUUGCUCUUCAUGAUACCUUGCAGGUUUGUGUAUGUGUGGGAUACCACAAGCAGGAGGAUUUUGUAUAAGCUACCCGGCCACGCUGGCUCCAUCAAUGAAGUGGCUUUCCACCCCGACGAACCCAUCAUUCUCUCAGCAUCCAGUGACAAGAGACUAUAUAUGGGAGAGAUUCAGUGAAGAUAUGGAGUGGAAGACUCCACAAGGCUGCUUGACCCUGAGACCUCAGACAGCAUAAGUGGCAUCAAAUGAUGCCCAAGCCAGCAUCCUCCCUUCAGAUGAAGAUCAUUACUAGCAAGAAACAAGGAGGAGGUGGCCAUAUUCCAGCAACCACAACUAUCCCAGUAUCCUAUUUCAUCAGGAUGAUUAAGGCAACCUUACAGUGGCCUCUUAAAACCACCUGCCAGAUUUCAGGGAUUGAUUUUUUUUUUUCCUCUUUUUUUUUUUUUUUUUAAGUAAGGUUUCUUCAAAGGGACACACAUUGGUUGGUGCAUAGUCUCCUGUUUCCUAAUUUAGGCUGAAGACAGGAAAUGUGACCGAAAUUUAUUCAUUGGGGAUUUUUUUUUUUAAUUCAAUAACUUGUAUGAUAUUCUCUUUCUUUGUUUCUCUGACUCAUUUUGUAUUAAAAGCCAAAUAGAUGCCUUUUUACAAGA